rnacentral:rRNA from 1 species
CCAGACUCCUACGGGAGGCAGCAGUGGGGGAUAUUGCACAAUGGGGGGAACCCUGAUGCAGCGACGCCGCGUGGGUGAAGAAGCGCCUCGGCGCGUAAAGCCCUGUCAGCAGGGAAGAAAAUGACGGUACCUGAAGAAGAAGCCCCGGCUAACUACGUGCCAGCAGCCGCGGUAAUACGUAGGGGGCAAGCGUUAUCCGGAUUUACUGGGUGUAAAGGGAGCGUAGACGGCAGUGCAAGUCUGGAGUGAAAGGCGGAGGCUCAACCCCCGGACUGCUCUGGAAACUGUACGGCUGGAGUGCAGGAGAGGUACGUGGAAUUCCUAGUGUAGCGGUGAAAUGCGUAGAUAUUAGGAGGAACACCAGUGGCGAAGGCGGCUUACUGGACUGUAACUGACGUUGAGGCUCGAAAGCGUGGGGAGCAAACAGGAUUAGAUACCCUUGUA